rfam:Triticum aestivum genome assembly, contig: Triticum_aestivum_CS42_TGACv1_scaffold_576763_7BL
UUUCUACUCCCUCCGUCCGAAAAUACUUGUCAUCAAAAUGAAUAAAAAGAUGUAUCUAAAACUAAAAUACAUCUAAAUACAUUUCAUUUUAUUUAUUUUGAUGACGUAUUUCCGGACGAAGGAAGUACAAA